GACGAACGCUGGCGGCGUGCCUAAUACAUGCAAGUAGAACGCUGAAGGAGGAGCUUGCUUCUCUGGAUGAGUUGCGAACGGGUGAGUAACGCGUAGGUAACCUGCCUGGUAGCGGGGGAUAACUAUUGGAAACGAUAGCUAAUACCGCAUAAUAGUAGAUGUUGCAUGACAUUUGCUUAAAAGGUGCAAUUGCAUCACUACCAGAUGGACCUGCGUUGUAUUAGCUAGUUGGUGGGGUAACGGCUCACCAAGGCGACGAUACAUAGCCGACCUGAGAGGGUGAUCGGCCACACUGGGACUGAGACACGGCCCAGACUCCUACGGGAGGCAGCAGUAGGGAAUCUUCGGCAAUGGACGGAAGUCUGACCGAGCAACGCCGCGUGAGUGAAGAAGGUUUUCGGGUCGUAAAGCUCUGUUGUAAGAGAAGAACGAGUGUGAGAGUGGAAAGUUCACACUGUGACGGUAUCUUACCAGAAAGGGACGGCUAACUACGUG
rnacentral:rRNA from 1 species